rnacentral:rRNA from 1 species
UGCCAGACUCCUACGGGAGGCAGCAGUGGGGAAUAUUGGACAAUGGGGGGAACCCUGAUCCAGCGACGCCGCGUGAGUGAAGAAGUAUUUCGGUAUGUAAAGCUCUAUCAGCAGGGAAGAAAGAAAUGACGGUACCUGACUAAGAAGCCCCGGCUAACUACGUGCCAGCAGCCGCGGUAAUACGUAGGGGGCAAGCGUUAUCCGGAUUUACUGGGUGUAAAGGGAGCGUAGACGGCAGUGCAAGUCCGGAGUGAAAGCCCGGGGCUCAACCCUGGGACUGCUCUGGAAACUGUAAAGCUGGAGUGCGGGAGGGGCAGGCGGAAUUCCUGGUGUAGCGGUGAAAUGCGUAGAUAUCAGGAGGAACACCGGCGGCGAAGGCGGCCUGCUGGACCGUGACUGACGUUGAGGCUCGAGAGCGUGGGGAGCAAACAGGAUUAGAUACCCCCGUA